ACCCCGAUGGGCCAUGGCUCCUGGAAUGGGCUAUGGCUGAAAUCUACAUGGCCCCAGGAUGGGACUGCGGCCGAUCAGGUUGUUGGUGGGGUAAUGGCCCACCAAGCCUAUAACCGGUGCGGGCUCUGAGAGGAGGAGCCCGGAGAUGGGCACUGAGACAAGGGCCCAGGUCCUAUGGGGCGCAGCAGGCGCGAAACCUCCGCAAUGGGUGAAAGCCCGACGGGGUCAGUCCGAGUGGUUCCCGCUGAGGGAACCUUUUGCCAGCUGUAAACAGGCUGGCGAAUAAGGGGUGGGCAAGUUUGGUGUCAGCCGCCGCGGUAAUACCAGCACCCCGAGUGGUCGGGACGAUUAUUGGGCCUAAAGCAUCCGUAGCCGGCCCAGUAAGUCCUCCGUUAAAUCCAACGGCUCAACCGUUGGGCUGCGGGGGAUACUGCUGGGCUAGGGGACGGGAGAGGCGAGGGGUAUUCCCGGGGUAGGGGUAAAAUCCACUGAUCCCGGGAGGACCACCAGUGGCGAAGGCGCCUCGCUAGAACGUGCCCGACGGUGAGGGAUGAAAGCUGGGGGAGCGAACCGGAUUAGAUACCCGGGUAGUCCCAGCCGUAAACGAUGUAGGCUCGGGUGUUGGGGCUGCCUCAGUGGCAGCCCAGUGCCGCAGGGAAGCCGUUAAGCCUACCGCCUGGGGAGUACGGCCGCAAGGCUGAAACUUAAAGGAAUU
rnacentral:rRNA from 1 species